UCGUCUGUCACCAUGCACAAGACGGCGUUUGUGCUGCUUCUUGUUCUUUCAAACAUCGCACCCAUCCUUUCGGGAGGAAGUAACGAUGUUCACAAAGUUGAGACCACAGCAGGCUUCACCUGUGAUGGUGGAAAACCGAAGAAAU